AUUGAAUCUUCUAAACAGAUUGUAUUUGAGAGCAAAGUAAUUCAUGUUGACCCAUAUCACAAAAGGCAUAAGCAGUAACAACAACAACAAUAUAGAUAUCUCAAAUACAAUCUGUUUAGAAGAUUAAAUGCAAGAAAUGCAUGAAGACUGUGUUAAACUGACUUGAUCCACAGGUUUGCUUUAACAUGUUACAUGGUAUUUGUGUUGUUGUGCUAUCUUGUACUAAGCUAUGUAUUGCUACGCUAAUUUGACAGGUAUACUGAUCACCUGGCAUACAGAAAAUGAAACCCCUGAUCUCAUUGGUAUGCCAGGUACAAGGGGGUGCCAUUGUUGUCUGUAUUCAGAUUUUUUCCAAUGACAUGGAUGCCAGCCUUUUCAUAAGGACUCACUUCUUGUUGAAUGAUUACAGUGAUGGUCUGGAUGGCAUGGUCUGAACCCUUCUUGUACCAGGCAUUUAUCGGGGGGCCUCCUGUUCCUUCAUUGAGAUUAACACCAACACAGGUAUAACCCUGUAUCUGAAGGCUUUCCUCUUCCUCAUUGUUAGUGGAGACAUCCAGGAGAUU
ensembl:lncRNA